rnacentral:lncRNA from 1 species
CCACGGGGCGGGGAGGGGGGUGGGGGGUGGGCAGAGGGAAAACCCAACCAUCAAAAUGUGAGACAUGAAAAAGAGCCAAGAAACCUGGAGCCGGGUUCCGAGGGUUGGCCACCCGCUUGCACCCAUCCUACCAGAGGACAGGAAAGGCUCGCACAGAGGAGACGCAAGCCUGACUCUCGGACUCUGGGGUCGCGUGCGUCCGACCAGCGGGGUCCGAGGAAGCUCGGGGAGCAAGGCAAGGAGACGGGGGUGACGGAGGCGGGCGGCGGGCGGCGGGCGGCGGGCGGCGGGCGGAGGCCCUCCGGCCGGAGCCCCGCGCGCCCGGGCCGCCAGGAGCCGCGCUCGCCCCGCGCGCCGCUGGGGGCCGGGCGGCCGCGCGAGUCCCCCCCGCCGGGCCGGGCCGGGCCGGGCAGCAGGGGGCGCGGGCCGCCGGAGGUCGCGGAGGGCACUGCAGCCGCAGCCCACGCUCGCGCCCCGCCGGGCUCCGCGCUCGGGUCUCCGGCUCCGGGGGGUGGGGGUGGGUGGAGCGGAGCCGGGGCCGCCCCCCGGAGCCGCCCCCGCAGCCCCGGCCCCCGCCCCCGGCCCCCGCCCCGGCUGUCAGCCGCCCCCCUCCCGCAGUCACUCACCCGCGGGCUGCGCGGUCUCGGCCUCGGCGGCGGCGGCGGCGGCGGCGGCAGCGGCGGCGGCGGCGCCCCCCGCCCGGGUCAUGGUCCCAGGCGGGGACGGCAGGGGCGUCCGGCCGCCGGGGCGAACCUCUCCGUCCGCGGCCGCCGCCUGCUCCUCUGGGGCUGGGGGAGCGCGGGCCCAGGCCCUCCUCUCCCCCCGCCCCCGCCGCCUCUUCCUGCGGCCACCGCCGCCGCUGCGAGCCCGAGCCCUCAAGGCCGGAGACCCGGCGGCAGCGCGGCCUCAACUUUCCCAGCCCCCCUCCCCCCGCCCCUCGCCCCUCCCCGCCCCUCCCGCGGCCGCCGCUCGGCACGCGGACAGCCUACGCUGGCUGCGCCGCGCGCCCGCCCCUGCCGCCCGGCCCGCCAAUCCGGCCCCGGGGAGGCUGCCGCGGCAGCCAAUCAGAGCCCGGACGCCUCUGCGCGAGGCUAG